rnacentral:tRNA from 1 species
AGUAAUAUAAGCUAAAUAAGNUAUUGGGUUCAUACCUCAAAAAUACUUWAUUGUURUUACUA